AGUGAACGCUGGCGGUAGGCCUAACACAUGCAAGUCGAACGGCAGCACAGAGGAGCUUGCUCCUUGGGUGGCGAGUGGCGGACGGGUGAGGAAUACAUCGGAAUCUACUCUGUCGUGGGGGAUAACGUAGGGAAACUUACGCUAAUACCGCAUACGACCUACGGGUGAAAGCAGGGGAUCUUCGGACCUUGCGCGAUUGAAUGAGCCGACGUCGGAUUAGCUAGUUGGCGGGGUAAAGGCCCACCAAGGCGACGAGCCGUAGCUGGUCUGAGAGGAUGACAGGCCACACUGGAACUGGGACACGGUCAAGACUCCUACGGGAGGCAGCAGUGGGGAAUAUUGGAAAAUGGGCGCAAGCCUGAUCCAGCCAUACCGCGUGGGUGAAGAAGGCCUUCGGGUUGUAAAGCCCUUUUGUUGGGAAAGAAAUCCAUCUGGUUAAUACCCGGGUGGGAUGACGGUACCCGAAGAAUAAGCACCGGCUAACUUCGUGCCAGCCGCCGCCGUAA
rnacentral:rRNA from 1 species